UACGGAGGGGGGCUAGCGUUGUUCGGAAUUACUGGGCGUAAAGCGCGCGUAGGCGGACCUGCAAGUCGGGGGUGAAAGCCCGAGGCUCAACCUCGGAACUGCCUUCGAUACUGCGGGUCUCGAGUACGGAAGAGGCGAGUGGAAUUCCUGGUGUAGCGGUGAAAUGCGCAGAUAUCAGGAGGAACACCAAUUGCGAAGGCAGCUCGCUGGGACGUUACUGACGCUGAGACGCGAAAGCGUGGGGAGCAAACAGG
rnacentral:rRNA from 1 species